rnacentral:rRNA from 1 species
CCUACGGGAGGCAGCAGUCGAGAAUCAUUCACAAUGGGGGAAACCCUGAUGGUGCGACGCCGCGUGGGGGAAUGCAGGUCUUCGGAUUGUAAACCCCUGUCAUGUGGGAGCAAAUUAAAAAGAUAGUACCACAAGAGGAAGAGACGGCUAACUCUGUGCCAGCAGCCGCGGUAAUACAGAGGUCUCAAGCGUUGUUCGUCAUCACUGGGCGUAAAGCGUGCGUAGGCUGUUUCGUAAGUCGUGUGUGAAAGGCGCGGGCUCAACCGGCGGACGGCACAUGAUACUGCGAGAUUAGAGUAAGGGAGGGGGAGCCGGAAUUCGCGGUGUAGCAGUGAAAUGCGUAGAUAUCGAGAGGAACACUGGUGGCGAAGGCGGGUUCCUGGACAUUAACUGACGCUGAGGCACGAAGGUGAGGGGAGCGAAAGGGAUUAGAUACCCGAGUAGUC